rnacentral:rRNA from 1 species
AACGAACGCUGGCGGCAUGCCUAACACAUGCAAGUCGAACGAGACCUUCGGGUCUAGUGGCGCACGGGUGCGUAACGCGUGGGAACCUGCCCUUAGGUUCGGCAUAACUCCCCGAAAGGGGUGCUAAUACCGGAUAAUGUCUUCGGACCAAAGAUUUAUCGCCUUUGGAUGGGCCCGCGUUGGAUUAGCUAGUUGGUAGGGUAAAAGCCUAUCAAGGCGACGAUCCAUAGCUGGUCUGAGAGGAUGAUCAGCCACACUGGGACUGAGACACGGCCCAGACUCCUACGGGAGGCAGCAGUGGGGAAUAGUGGACAAUGGGCGAAAGCCUGAUCCAGCAAUGCCGGGUGAGUGAUGAAGGCCUUAGGGUUGUAAAGCUCUUUUACCCGGGAUGAUAAUGACAGUACCGGGAGAAUAAGCUCCGGCUAACUCCGUG